GAUGAAGAACGUAGCGAAAUGCGAUAAGUAAUGUGAAUUGCAGAAUUCAGUGAAUCAUCGAAUCUUUGAACGCACAUUGCGCUUCAUGGCAUUCCAUGAGGCAUGCCCAUCUCAGCGUUAGAAAAUAUUCUCAAAUUUUAGGUUUGUGGUAAAAUUUGGAUCAUGUCAAGGAAGCUAUUACUAUUAUUGUGAUCGCUCUUUGGAAAUUGAUAGGUCUUUGAGUUGCUACUCAUAGAACGUGAUGAAUCUUUCUUCGUUCUAUUGUAAUUCACUCUGGUAGUCCUAAAACUUGUAUGCCUGUGGCAUAUCUUGUAAUUUGACCUGAGAUUGGGUAGGGAUACCCGCUGAACUUAAGCAUAUCAAUAAGCGGAGGA
rnacentral:misc_RNA from 1 species